UAGCAAGAUUCUAUAGAACUUGACUGCAAUUCAGUCAUUUGAUUCAUGUUACAGUAGCUCAUGAGUGAAUGAAUGUGGUGCAAUAAAAGUACUUUUGGAAGUAAACACUUAAAUUUACUUGAGUAGGGUUAGGGGUUGCCACUUCAGCAUGAUUAUUAUCAUUUAUCAAAGUCCCUCCCUCAUAUGUUAACAGUUCAAACGCUGUGGAAUGGUGAGUGCUAAGGAUGGGGGUGACCAAAUUCCCAACUCCUGAGAAUGCAGGAGGGGCAAUAAUGUGGAGCCACAUGCAUUUAAGCUUGUCACAUUGUAUACCUAUACUUUCUACAUUUGUUCAGAUAUUCUAUAAUUAUAUCAGAAUCGUAAUAAGCAAAAUAGAAAUGCCACAUAGAGUAUGGCAUUUCUCAUACUGUCUGCUCCAAAUGCAACAACCAUUAGUUAGUUGGUUCUGGGAAAGCUCUGCUGCUUGUAUCUACAAUCUUGUUCAUUCAGUCACUACCCAAAGCUUGUGACCCUAGGUAAAGGUAGGGACAUAGAUCGACUGGUACAUCGAAAAUCUGAUCUCUGACCCAAAGGAGCAGUGUACAAUCCUUUCAUCCACUGGGAAAACCUCCAAUGUAAAGGUAGCAAGACAGUCAAGAUAAUCACCCCAGCUUGUUGCCUCUCAUCAAGGGGAUUUUUCAGACUGGGUCAUAGUCCAGCCCUUGAAUGAAGGGCAACAAUCUUUCACUCAGGCUCAAGGGUCGACAACCUUCAGCAUCGUGCAUGCAUGGUGUGUAAUGCGAGCUGGAUAAUACAUAUACAGGAUGGUGCAUGUCAGUUCAGUGCUGAGUUAUGUUAUAGUAGUUAUAUAGUAGUAGUUAGUGUAGAGGGAUGUGGUGGUCUGGUUUCUAUGAUCAAGGACAAAAAAACCCAGUUGAACAUACCCUUAUAUUAACCGUUAAUAUAACUGGCCUCCAAUUCCUCCACUACAAACCUGCUAAGGAACUACGUCAAUCUAAUACCACCCCUUAAGAGCAUUAGCAUUUAGUAUAACACUUCUCAAUUGGGCCACAAGAUGGCACUCCAACACAAGGGAUGAAAAUAUUUAUAGUAAGGCUGUUGGUAAGUAGUACACGGUACAGUGUUCAAAGUCAGUGAACUAGUAAAAAAAAAAAAAGGGAGGUGUAUCUAUCAGUCAGCUUAGAGCAAGACUUCUGGUCUCACAGGAGUGCACAGACACACACUAUCUUUCUUGGCUGCUGCCUCAAAGAAUAUCAUGGGUUGUUGGUCUUGUGUGCUGCUCAACACUCAAUAUUUAUAAUUUAAUGUUACUUGUACUUACCUAGGCUGUGGUUUCCUUAAUGCGUUGUUGUCUUUAUGCUUGUUUUCUUCUCUUUUUUCCCCCAGCAGGUGAUCUAGCACAGUGGUUCUCAAACUUUUCACAAUGAGUCUGACCUCUUAAAAUAUAUGGCUCUUAAAGUACCACCCUUAUGACUGACAUUAAAGGACAGUAGCAGUAACAUGGGCUUUGGAGCGUGAUGUCACGGGGGGUGGGCGUGGAAAGGAUUUUGGCCCGAUCCGCCAUUUUGGGGGUCUAGCGCAAGUGAAAAGGGAGCGAAGUCACACACAACAGCCAUGGUUCGUAUUUGCUGUGUGGUCGGCUGCAAUGUUCGAUCACACGACCGGCAAGAGAAUAAGGUUGAAAAUGGUUUAUCUUUUCAUUCUUUCCCAACCUGGAAGCAACAUGAGCAGCUCGUGUAUUGAUGUUACCAAACGAAGGCGUCUAGCCUGGAUAGCAGCUGUGAGACGAGCUGACGUGCAGUUCUCUUCCAUCUCCAAAUAUCUGUUGGUGCUCCAGACAUUUUCAUUCCGCAAACCAGCCUAUGAAAUGGAUGAAACAUCGUGACUGGGUUCCAGCGCUACACAAGGGACCUGCUGCAAACAUACCACCAUGCCAAUCAGAUUACUUCUUCCAUGUGAGGGUGAAGAGUUGACCCUUCUGGAUAAGAUGGUGAAGGUUUGGUGAACAGUGUGGUAGUAAAACCAGGGAAAAAUGAAACCUGCUCCUGUUAAAUAUUCUUAAGUCUUGUGCUGUUAAAAUUGCUGUAUUUUUUCAAAAGAUACAGUAAAUAAAGUAAUGUUAGUAGUGGGUGAUGUCAUGUAAACACUCAUGAUUUUGUGUAAACAUUUUGUCAUUUGUAAACUAUAAAUGACAUGGAUUCUACAUUGUAACUGAUGUGAUGUUCUAUAAGGUGGUUUCAAUAAAAAAAAGAG
ensembl:lncRNA